AGUGAGAAGAAACCAGGUUUGGUUAGGAAGGAUUGUGUGGGUAGCUUAAAAUACGAUUUUCUUGAAUUUUGAAUCGAAACUAAUCAUCAUAUCGUUUAAUACAGGAUAUCAAAUCGAAUAAUUUUUCUACAAGAAAUUACAGCAGCAGUGUUUCCAACAGAUAGAUGAACUACACAAUUUUCCGAAGUUUUCUGACGUAAAUCCAGGUCUUCAUUGUUUACGUGAUUACAAUGUUAAAGUUGUGAGUGCCUGCAGUUGUGAAACUGGUUGAAACAUGUAGAACAGCCUGCAAAGACAUUCGUUCCCAAUGCAAAACGUCCAGCGCUCUAAUUAGUACCCGCCUUUCAAUAUAUCAGGUUAGAUUUGUAUAUACUAAACGAACAUAACUGACCAAAAAGUAGGGUUAAAGGCUACACUUUUAUUAUUUUGAUACUCAGAAUGCAGAACUCAGCAUGUAAUGGAGCUACAUGAAUAUGUCAUGUAAUGAAGCUGUGCUUAAAAACUUCUUUCACACACUUUUAUGACUUGAAGUAUAAGAACAUGGAAGCCUACAUGGCAAGCAAGUGGAUGGAGCACCACUGCACUGGCACCAUCUUGUAAGAGUAUUUCAUCGUCCUACAUGCUUCCCCUUCCAACAUCUUUGGGUGAACUGCGACGCCACAUAGCAGAAUCAGUGAAUGCAGUAAAUCGAGACAUAUACACCAAGUAAAGAAUUUGUUUAUCGGCUGGAUGCUUUUCAUGCAUCAGGUGGAGGGCACACUGGAAUUUGUGAAAAAUAAAUGAAAACUUCAAUUCUAAAUAUAAUUUUGAGAAAGUAACAAGUAUGUAUAUGAAGGUAUAUGAAAGAAGUAACAAGUAUGUAUAUGAAGGUAUAUGAAAGAGGUACCUACGUACAUUGGAUGGUUAUUUUGAAAAUAAAAACUUAAGUUCAACGUCUGCUGAUGUGAGAGGGAUGGAAAAUGUUUCUAAAAGAAAAAUAUGGGAGUUAUUGCUGGGAUCUGCACACCAUUUUACACAGAACUUUAUUUACCAUGACUGUAAUUAAGGUGUUUACAAUAUCAAACAGUUACAGUAAAUUCCUUGCCUUUUCUCUUAGUAACAUGUUUCUGUGUCAACUUUCUCCAUAAAUAAUUUAAAUAUAGAAUUAGACCUUGUGUGCUUGUUACCUUUGUGAAAUUGCAAUUUUAUAUGUGGUAUUUGUUCUUUAUAACAUGUCCAAAAGAACAGACACUAAAAAUAUAAUGGUACUAUAUAUAACUUGAUGAUAUCUUCAGUGUGGAUGUACCUUUUAAUGGAAUCGUGCGAGAUGCUAUGAGCAAUGAGGAUUGUGGACAAAGGGCACUACGAAGUAGUGUGAAGUUGAGAAUAUGGGUUGGACGGGAAGCAUUUCCAGAUAGCCGAAGCGGGUCAGGUGACUGCUUGCAUAAAGCAAGAAAUCUAACUUCAAUCCUGGUCCGGCACAAAUUUGCACUGAAUUAUUUCAAUGUGCUCGUCUGGCUGACAUCAGUAUCUCUCUUUCAUCAUGUAAUUAUAUAACUGCUAUUUUAUCAUUUUUCACAAGCUGAAAGACUGAGGAUGCGCACCAUUCCUUAUACACAUGCCUUUAACGUUUUUAACAACUAUCUAGGAACUCAGUGUUUUUCUUUUUUUUAUAUAUAUUUCAGAUCAGUUCAGUUCAAUUAGAAUUUGAAUCUUUAAUAAAGGUGAUAAAUGAGAACAUGCCUUCAGCAGCUGGAGAAAGUCUGAUGCUCUUUUCACAAUGCAAGGCAUGUACAUCUCUCGAAAAUAUAAGCAAGCCUUUUAAACCACAAUUACAAAGUAUAACAAAAAACAACAAAUUUCUACUUUCUGCCAGUAAGAUUUUGCUUUUUAGUCACAUGCAAUGUCAGCCUGAAAACAUUACAUAAUGCACAAUCUUAUUUCUUUAUAUCAUCAUCAUUUUAUUGGCAAUUAACAAGGAAGAUCGACAUAGGUUAACAAGUGCCUCUGCAGAGAUUAGUGUCACUACUUGCUGAUGUGAGAGUCAAAAGAUUCAAUUCCUAGUAACUGAACUACAUUUUCCUGCUAUGGGAAAGUGUGGAUUGGGAUCUGCCAUCUUUGAAAGAGCAAAAGAGAAGCUGCUUGAGAAAUGCAAGAAAUGUAACUGUUGUGCAAGCUGUUUAAGAUGUGUCAAAUAAAAGGAUUGGAAGCAACAUACUUUUAUUGCAUACUGAUGGCUACCAAUAAGAACCCAUAGACGGGCGUACGUCUCAAACUGUAAUGUUGCAGUGAGGUACUCAUAAUUUAAUCUUCAUAUUACAGAGUAAAGUUGAAAUAUUAAUGCAGACUUU